GCUCAGGCUUUUUGAAUGUCUGUCCCUAGCCCAAAAAGCUCCAGUUCCUACAAACCCUGACAGAGCCCAAGGCCUGACCCCUGUAGAUAAAUGGAUUUCUGCUCUGCUUCCUUCCUGCCUGCCAUGCCAAUUGCGGGCUGCCCCUCCCCCUUGCUCUAAGCUGGGGGCCAGAGCCAGAAUACACACAAGAAAUGGGCCAAACCAGGAGAUGGGUUUUAACCAGGCAGGAGGCCAGAGAUAAUCAGGAAGGCAAUAAACAGGCAUGCCAAAGCCUCUGAUGUGUUGCCUCUGGUGUGUUAUCACUGCUGCAGUUAGGAGGAGGGGAGACAGCACUCCCUUGGGAGAUAGAAAAUUUCCAUCAAGGACAUCUCCACACAGCAACAAUGAUUCACUCCCUUCCCCACGCAUGCCAAGAGAGAGCCGGCACCAGGCAGCAAAGCAGAGAACCAUGAAGCAGCUCAGAGGAUACAUCUGCCUUUUGUUUGGAUGAGGAGCAGACCGGACAGGGAAGCAUAUGGGAGAGCAGCAACAUGAUAUACUGAUCCUCCAUGAUCAGGCGAGACAUGCCUUCAUAGCUGCCUGCACAGCCUGAGGAAACCCCGCUGCAGUUUCAGGAACUCCCUGUUGUGCUAGUUCUGGAAUGCUGAAGUGAAGCGAGAGGCUGGAUACUGCUCAUUUGCAUAUCAUUACCUAGGGUGGUUUUCCAGCUCAUAGCUGGCUCCCCACAGAAGUCUGACUUAAGAAAGUUAUGAAUUCCUUUUGCGCCAUGUCUUCAAGUUCACACAGCUCUAUGGAGCCCAGCAAGGCUCGAGUGAAUCCUGCCCCCAAACCAACAGAGAUGUCCUACCACAGAAAGCAGUCAGUGACAAACAUAUUUACACUAACCAUACUUUACCAUUCACAGA